AGCGGCGAACGGGUGAGUAACACGUGGGUGAUCUGCCCUGCACUUCGGGAUAAGCCUGGGAAACUGGGUCUAAUACCGGAUAUGACCUUCGGCUGCAUGGCUGAGGGUGGAAAGGUUUACUGGUGCAGGAUGGGCCCGCGGCCUAUCAGCUUGUUGGUGGGGUAAUGGCCUACCAAGGCGACGACGGGUAGCCGACCUGAGAGGGUGACCGGCCACACUGGGACUGAGACACGGCCCAGACUCCUACGGGAGGCAGCAGUGGGGAAUAUUGCACAAUGGGCGAAAGCCUGAUGCAGCGACGCCGCGUGAGGGAUGACGGCCUUCGGGUUGUAAACCUCUUUCAGCAGGGACGAAGCGAAAGUGACGGUACCUGCAGAAGAAGCACCGGCUAACUACGUGCCAGCAGCCGCGGUAAUACGUAGGGUGCAAGCGUUGUCCGGAAUUACUGGGCGUAAAGAGUUCGUAGGCGGUUUGUCGCGUCGUUUGUGAAAACUCACAGCUCAACUGUGAGCCUGCAGGCGAUACGGGCAGACUUGAGUACUGCAGGGGAGACUGGAAUUCCUGGUGUAGCGGUGAAAUGCGCAGAUAUCAGGAGGAACACCGGUGGCGAAGGCGGGUCUCUGGGCAGUAACUGACGCUGA
rnacentral:rRNA from 1 species